CAGUAGCCACGGUAAUACGUAGGUGGCAAGCGUUGUCCGGAAUUAUUGGGCGUAAAGCGCGCGCAGGUGGUUUAAUAAGUCUGAUGUGAAAGCCCACGGCUCAACCGUGGAGGGUCAUUGGAAACUGUUAAACUUGAGUGCAGAAGAGGAGAGUGGAAUUCCACGUGUAGCGGUGAAAUGCGUAGAGAUGUGGAGGAACACCAGUGGCGAAGGCGAUUCUCUGGUCUGUAACUGACGCUGAGGAGCGAAAGCGUGGGGAGCGAACAGGAUUAGAUACCCGAGUAGUCCCUGUCUCUUAUAA
rnacentral:rRNA from 1 species